UACGUAGGGGGCAAGCGUUGUCCGGAAUCAUUGGGCGUAAAGCGCGUGUAGGCGGUUCGAUUAGUCUGCUGUGAAAGUCGGGGGCUCAACCCUCGAAAGCCGGUGGAUACUGUCGGGCUAGAGUACGGAAGAGGCGAGUGGAAUUCCUGGUGUAGCGGUGAAAUGCGCAGAUAUCAGGAGGAACACCCAUUGCGAAGGCAGCUCGCUGGGACGUUACUGACGCUGAGACGCGAAAGCGUGGGGAGCAAACAGG
rnacentral:rRNA from 1 species